rnacentral:lncRNA from 1 species
CAGGUGAAGUGAUGGCAGGGGACUACACCUGGGAAUCGCUGAGGAGAGACAAUGCUCACUCUGCUGCACUGCUUGAGGAGCUCAUAGAGUGUAAGAAGAGGUCUGCGGAGCUGGCAGACGCGGUCAAAGAACAGGAAAAAAUCCGCAAGUCACUGAGAGAAGAGGUGGAGCUGGAGAUGAAGAAACAUCACACAGCUCAAGAGAGCAUCAAAAGGCGUGUUGCCCCGAAGGAGGUGAGAUGCCGGAAGGAGCACAUAAGCUCCCUAAUGUAUGAAACUGUGGCUGCACGACUGGACGAGCAGACGGCAGCACAGAGGCGCCCACUCACUACCUGGCUGCGGCGAUUUCUGCUGUUCUUGGGCCUGCUGCAGCUUGUGUUCUUCAUCCUGGUCAUGCUGGACAGGGACACCCUCCACUGCGUCUUGCCUGUGGAGCUGGCAACUGCCCUUGGCAGCCGUCCACCAAAACCCAUUCUAUUCUGACCCCAGAACACACCAUGAUGGCCCUUCAUCAUGGCACCACUGGGGCCACACAAGCAUUAAAUGCAUCCCCCUUGUCACCAAAAACAUCAAUAAAAUCAACCCCAACCCCUAUAAAUGUGUCA